GUACAUUCAAGCUUUGCUUGGUGUUGGGCGUCUGUCCCGCUUUACGCGUGGACUCGCCCCAAAGUCAUUGGCAGCGGUCGUGCCAGCUUCUCGCGCAGCACAUUUGCGUUUCUUGAAGUUUGGAGGAUCAGCAUCCAGUAAGCUCUUUUAUG
rnacentral:misc_RNA from 1 species